AGUGAACGCUGGCGGUAGGCCUAACACAUGCAAGUCGAACGGCAGCACAGUAAGAGCUUGCUCUUACGGGUGGCGAGUGGCGGACGGGUGAGGAAUACAUCGGAAUCUACUUUUUCUUGGGGGAUAACGUGGGGAAACUUACGCUAAUACCGCAUACGACCUACGGGUGAAAGCAUGGGAUCUUCGGACCUUGCGCGAUUGAAUGAGCCGAUGUCGGAUUAGCUAGUUGGCGGGGUAAAAGCCCACCAAGGCGACGAUCCGUAGCUGGUCUGAGAGGAUGAUCAGCCACACUGGAACUGAGACACGGUCCAGACUCCUACGGGAGGCAGCAGUGGGGAAUAUUGGACAAUGGGCGCAAGCCUGAUCCAGCCAUACCGCGUGGGUGAAGAAGGCCUUCGGGUUGUAAAGCCCUUUUGUUGGGAAAGAAAAGCAGCAGGUUAAUACCCCGCUGUUCUGACGGUACCCAAAGAAUAAGCACCGGCUAACUUCGUG
rnacentral:rRNA from 1 species